UACGGGGGGGGUAAGCGUUGUUCGGAAUUACUGGGCGUAAAGGGCUCGUAGGCGGCCAACUAAGUCAGACGUGAAAUCCCUCAGCUUAACUGGGGAACUGCGUCUGAUACUGGAUGGCUUGGAUUUGGGAGAGGGAUGCGGAAUUCCAGGUGUAGCGGUGAAAUGCGUAGAUAUCUGGAGGAACACCGGUGGCGAAGGCGGUUCUCUGGGCCUGUUCUGACGCUGAGGAGCGAAAGCGUGGGGAGCGAACAGG
rnacentral:rRNA from 1 species